AUUGAACGCUGGCGGCAUGCUUUACACAUGCAAGUCGAACGGCAGCGGGGGCUUCGGCCUGCUGGUGAGUGGCGAACGGGUGAGUAAUGCAUCGGAACGUGCCCAGUCAUGGGGGAUAACUACGCGAAAGCGUAGCUAAUACCGCAUACGCCCUGAGGGGGAAAGCGGGGGAUCGCAAGACCUCGCGUGAUUGGAGCGGCCGAUGUCGGAUUAGCUAGUUGGUGGGUAAAGGCCUACCAAGGCGACGAUCCGUAGCGGGUCUGAGAGGAUGAUCAGCCACACUGGGACUGAGACACGGCCCAGACUCCUACGGAGCAGCAGUGGGAAUAUUGCGCAAUGGGCGAAAGCCUGACGCAGCGACGCCGCGUGGGUGAUGAAGGCC
rnacentral:rRNA from 1 species